rnacentral:rRNA from 1 species
UACGAAGGGGGCUAGCGUUGCUCGGAAUCACUGGGCGUAAAGCGCACGUAGGCGGAUCUUUAAGUCAGGGGUGAAAUCCUGGAGCUCAACUCCAGAACUGCCUUUGAUACUGGGGAUCUCGAAUCCGGGAGAGGUGAGUGGAACUGCGAGUGUAGAGGUGAAAUUCGUAGAUAUUCGCAAGAACACCAGUGGCGAAGGCGGCUCACUGGCCCGGUACUGACGCUGAGGUGCGAAAGCGUGGGGAGCAAACAGG